CAUUACCGAAUUGUCAACACGAGUUGUUGCUGGUCCUCAGACGAGGGCAUGUGCACGCUCUGUUUACACAUCCACUCACACCUGUGCACCCUCUGUAGUUCUAUGGUCUGAGGGGCUCUGUCCUCUCGCCGUGGCUCUAUGUCUUUACACACGCACUGUAAUAAAGUUUCAUGGAAUGCAUGACGCGUUUAACGCAAUACAAUACAACUUUCAGCAACGGAUCUCUUGGCUCUCGCAUCGAUGAAGAACGCAGCGAAAUGCGAUAAGUAAUGUGAAUUGCAGAAUUCAGUGAAUCAUCGAAUCUUUGAACGCACCUUGCGCCCUUUGGCUAUUCCAGAGGGCAUGCCUGUUUGAGUAUCAUGAACACCUCAACUCUCACGGUUUGCCGUGAUGAGCUUGGACUUUGGAGGUCUUGCCGGCCUGUGGUUGGCUCCUCUCAAAUGAAUCAGCUUGCCAGUGUUUGGUGGCAUCCCAGGUGUGAUAACUAUCUACGCUUGUGGCUUUCCACCAGGUAACCUUCAGCGAUGGAGGUUCGCUGGGGCUCACAAAUGUCUCUCCUAAGUGAGGACGGCUUCUUGAAUGUUUGAUCUCAAAUCAGGUAGGGCUACCCGCUGAACUUAAGCAUAUCAAUAAGCGGAGGAAAAGAAACUAACAAGGAUUCCCCUAGUAACUGCGAGUGAAGCGGGAAGAGCUCAAAUUUAAAAUCUGGCGUCCUCUGGUCGUCCGAGUUGUAGUCUGGAGAAGCGUUUUCCGUGUCGGACCGUGUAUAAGUCUCUUGGAACAGGGCGUCA
rnacentral:rRNA from 1 species